rnacentral:rRNA from 1 species
CUUGACACUUCGGUGUCGAAACUGCGGACGGCUCAUUAAAUCAUACAUACGAUCUGGGGCGGUUGACGGGGAGUCACUUCGGUGGCUCCUUUAUAUGGAUAACUGUGGCAAUUCUAGAGCUAAUACAUGACCUACAAGCCUUGACCCCCCCGGGGAACGGUGCUUUUGACCACAUGCAAGACUAAUGGCCCCCUCGGGGGUCUCAAACUUGAGGAAAUCUGGACAAAUUAUGCUGACCGGGGCAUCUGCCUCGGUUUGCUUCUGAAGUGUAUGCCCUAUCAACUGACGAUGGUAGUUCCAAUGCCUACCAUGGUGAUAACGGGUANNNNNGGAAUCAGGGUUCUGUUCCGGAGAGGGAGCAUGAGAAACGGCUACCACAUCCNAGGAAGGCAGCAGGCGCGCAAAUUACCCACUCCUGACACGGGGNGGUAGUGACGACAAAUAACAAUACGAGACUCUUUCGAGGCUUCUUAAUUGGAAUGAGAACGUUGUAAAGUCCCUAACGAGGAUCUACUGGAGGGCAAGUCUGGUGCCAGCAGCCGCGNNAAUUCCAGCUCCANUANCGUAUAUUAAANUGUUGCAGUUAAAAAGCUCGUANUGGCCGUCGGGNGNGGGCCGGCGGCCUGCUCACGCAGGNACUGCCCGUUCCAACCCAUCUGUGGGCCUUCCCUCAGUGCCCUUAACUGGGUGCUUUGGGAGACUCGCGCGUUUACUUUGAAAAAAUUAGAGUGUUCAAGGCAGGCGCAGUCCGCUUGUAUAUCGAUGCAUGGAAUAAUGAAAGAGGAUACCCGUCCUGAUCUGUUAGUCCUCAGGAUCCGGGUAUAAUGAAUAAUAGACACGGUCGGGGGCACCAGUAUUACAUCGUGAGAGGUGAAAUUCUAGGACCUCUGUAAGACUAACUACAGCGAAAGCAUUUGCCAAGCACGUUUUCAUUGAUCAAGAACGAAAGUCAGAGGUUCGAAGACGAUCAGAUACCGUCGUAGUUCUGACCAUAAACGAUGCCAGCUGGGGAUCCGCGGGAGUUUUUCCAUAAGACUCCGCGGGGACCCUACGGGAAACCAAAGCUUUUGGGUUCCGGGGGAAGUAUGGUUGCAAAGCUGAAACUUAAAGGAAUUGACGGAAGGGCACCACCAGGAGUGGAGCCUGCGGCUUAAUUUGACUCAACACGGGAAAACUCACCCGGCCAGGACACCGUAAGGAUUGACAGAUUGAGAGCUCUUUCUCGAUUCGGUGGGUGGUGGUGCAUGGCCGUUCUUAGUGGUGGAGCGAUUUGUCUGGUAAUUCCGAUAACGAACGAGACUCUGGCCUAUUAAAUAUGUUCGCGGCCUCCAGAUGGCCGUGCCAACUUCUUAAGGGACAAGUG